UUCUUUAAAUUUGCCAUCACUUUGUUACGCACAAUAAAGCUGCUUUGAUAAAUCGAUAAAAAACAAAAAUCAGAAUUCUAAAAAUACCUAUGUGCAUUAUUUAUAUUUUUUAAUGUGUUCUUAUUGUAAAUGUAUCCGUCAAAUUUUAAAAAGAGAAAGUGUUUCGCGCGCAUUCCUUUAUUAUCAGUACCACGUUUGGGCGGAGUCUCUCAGGUCAAGGCAAUGACGGAUGCAUCGUGUGAUUCCCCUAAGGAUGCAAUGUUAUUCAAACUUGCACAAACUGCACGUCUGAAGUUAUUUUUAAACGGUGAGUCGACAGUAGUUUAAUUCGGGUAGAGGGCAGCAUACACAACGUUGUUAAUAGAAACUCAUCGCAUCGAUCUUUCAACAGUAAAAAUUGUGGUUAAAAUGAGUAUUAGCGCAAAUCGCGAACGGUAUGUGCGAAAUCCCGUUCUCAUCAAAGAAAUCCUCAAAGAUUCAAUCACGACGGAUUGGGAAGAAACCGUCCAUAUACCGUUUGUGCUGAAAGAAGUGUCGCAGAAUUCAGCCGAAUACGCAAGAGUGAAUGCAACAUUUGAACGAACGUCACGGGGUAUGUCGAUUAAAAAAUUAGAAAGAGUGGAAAAUCCGUACCUCUUGGGACACUACUUAAUGAAAAAAGAAAAAAUGCGAAGUGAAUAUUCGGUUGUCCGGGAAAUAUCCCUGUUUCACGGCACACAAAAAAGUUAUAUCAAUAAUAUAUGCAAGUAUAAUUUUGAUUGGCGGAAACGGGGAAGUUCGAGAGGCCACAAGUUUGGGCAAGGAGUGUCUUUUGCCCCGGAAGUACCAUACGCACGACAUUAUACUAUGGAUAAUGUAAUGAUCCUUGCAAAGGUCCUAGUGUCUAAGGCCUCAAUUGGAAAUCAAUUUACGGUAGUACCACCAACAUCGUUUGACACCACCGCAAACAGCAAAUGUUCUGUUAUUGUGAAAUAUGAAGACGACGAUUUUUAUCCGCAAUAUGUUAUACAUUUUAAUCGGUUUUAAUUUUUUUUCAGAUUUCAAAGCAAGUAUUGUGUUGUGAUAUUUAGUUUUUACUUUUUGUAUUGAAUUAUAAUUAAAUGUACUCACCAGUGUUUUGUUUGUUAUACUUUUCGCAUUAUUUUAUAUUUUAUGUUGGUUUUGUAUCCAAUGUAAUUAAAAAUAAAGAAAAAAGAUA